ACUAUGGGGGCGCUAAUGUACAUCUACGCUGGUUGCCAACCACCAUGAACAUUUAAAGAGCAGAAGAAGAAGAAGAGGACACUAAAGAGUUCAGGUGCACGACAUGAGGAUUUAAUGAGACAGCUUUUAUCUUACUGCUUUCGUGGAAGAUCAGGGGAUGGCGGCAACAAGGCCACGGAGAGCUAAAAUAAAUCCCAUACAAGAUGCUAGGUAUUACUGCUCCUUAGGUGAAGACAAGGCAGGAUUUGAUGUGAGGUAUAUUGAUUCAUUUAAAGGUCGCGGUGUGUUCAGCUGUCGGUCAUUUCAAAAGGGAGAUUUUCUUUUUGAGUACAGAGGACAAAUCAUAACUAAAGAGGAACAAGAAAACCGAAUGAAACUUUACCAUGAUGCACUCAAGGUUUUCAUAUUUGAUUUCAAGUUCAAUGGAAAACAGUUAUGUGUUGAUGCUACCAGAGAGGACGGCUCACUUGGCAGACUUGUAAAUGACGAUAAUGUGAAUCCAAACAGUAAAAUGACAGUUACCAGAGUGGAUGGAAGGCCCCAUCUCUGUUUGUUUGCAAUCAAA